AACGCGAAGAACCUUACCUGGGCUUGAACUACUCGUGGUAGUCAGCUGGAAACAGCGGGCGACCCGCAAGGGAGCGAGCAGAGGUGCUGCAUGGUUGUCGUCAGCUCGUGUCGUGAGAUGUUGGGUUAAGUCCCGCAACGAGCGCAACCCCUAUCCAAUGUUGCUAAUCCCGCAAGGGAUGCACUCUUUGGAAACUGCCUUCGAUAAGAAGGAGGAAGGUGGGGACGACGUCAAAUCCUCAUGGCCCUUAUGUCCAGGGCAACACACGUGUUACAAUGGCCGGUACAACGGGAAGCAAUACCGCAAGGUGGAGCCAAACCCUGAAAGCCGGCCCCAGUUCAGAUCGUGGGCUGCAACUCGCCCACGUGAAGGCGGAAUCGCUAGUAAUCGCUGAUCAGCAGGCAGCGUGAAUACGUCCCGGCUUGUACACACCGCGAGC
rnacentral:rRNA from 1 species